CUACAGGUCUCCAGUAUGCCUGGGUAUGAGGUAGCUAUGCAUCCCUACAGUGCUUGUGAGAGCAUUAUGAAACAGUUCGAGGCCUUGCCCUACUCCAUCCAGAGCAAUGUCAUAGAAAUUUCAGGCAAUU